CCUACGGGAGGCUGCAGUGAGGAAUAUUGGUCAAUGGCCGAGAGGCUGAACCAGCCAAGUCGCGUGAGGGAAGACGGCCCUACGGGUUGUAAACCUCUUUUGUCGGGGAGCAAAGCGAGUCACGUGUGACUCAUUGAGAGUACCCGAAGAAAAAGCAUCGGCUAACUCCGUGCCAGCAGCCGCGGUAAUACGGAGGAGGCGAGCGUUAUCCGGAUUUAUUGGGUUUAAAGGGUGCGCAGGCGGAGGUGCAAGUCAGCGGUCAAAUUGCGGGGCUCAACCCCGUACUGCCGUUGAAACUGCAUGCCUUGAGUGCGCGAGAGGUAUGCGGAAUGCGUGGUGUAGCGGUGAAAUGCAUAGAGAUCACGAAGAACUCCGAUUGCGAAGGCAGCAUACCGGCGCGCAACUGACGCUCAUGCACGAAAGCGUGGGUAUCGAACAGGAUUAGAUACCCUUGUAGUC
rnacentral:rRNA from 1 species